AAAAAUGGCUGCACAGAACUGGGGUUACCGCUCUUUGGAAAUAGACAUGGUUUUAUUAGCUGUCAGUGAAGCUCCUGUUGCUAGCAGUUACAUAGGGUAACGAGACUUAGUACCUGCCUUUCCUCUCCCUGCUGUUUGUGAAUGAGUCCCAGCUCCUCGCCGCUGACCUACCAUUGUACUACCACGAGAGGUGAAGAAAAGUAGAAGAUCACUAAAGGACUGAAUAUUUAUGUGAAGAAUUUGGCCAUGUGUCCUUGUUUUGCUGGAAAAGUUUUCUACGCUGGAGCACAAACACAGGGCAACUAAGCUGGUAAAAGGACUGAUGGACGACCAUCAUACUGUGUGGUGCUGGAGCAGGUUAUGAUGGGGUUGGUAUGAUCUUGGUGCAUCAGGUGAAUCAGAUGCACGGCUGAGCCUCAGCGAUAUAAAGUGUGCUCACUCCUUCUGCCAAGAGGAACAGUAAGAAAAGUCUGAAAUAUUGGCAGUUUUCUGUUUUGGCUCGUUAAUAUCCAGGAAUGAUGACAGACGCUUUCCUUUGCACUUUGUGACGUCUUCAGUUGAUGGCUGCAAGAAAGACAUUGUUUCCUUUAUUGUUAACAGUAUUGCAGAAAGGCUGUAGUCUAGUAAUUAGUAAGGGUUGAAGACAAAAUUUACUGUGUGGAUAUACUGGGCACACAAUGAGUUAACCCAUUGAGUUUCAAUGAUAACCAUAUUUUUUGUCUUUAACUAGAAUUGAUGCCAAUAUUUUGGAUGAUGCACCCCUUUCGAUGAAACAGGUGUCUCUUUAUAAGCCCUGCAGCUAUCCCCUCAUGUAAAUUGUGUUUAUUCUAGUAAUUAUAGGCAUAUUAUACCAUUUACAUGGUGUAGACAUUGAUAUUCUGAAGAAAUCUGUUUUGUAUCCCUAUUUUGGGGGGGGGGGUUGUUUAUUAUUUACCUGUCACUAACCCAAAGUUAAUGGCUGAUGGGUUGAAAGCAAUUUUAAUUCUGGUAGCAAAAGCUUAAUCCUAAGGCUCAAGUUUAAAUGUCAUUUAUAUUUUCAUUGGCGUCCCUUCUUAUUCAUCUUUAUUUCAAGUGAUUAAACUAUAUAAGGUCUUAUUUAUUAUUGCAAGUUCAAAGUGCAGGCUGCAAAAACUCAUGCAAAUCAUGCAAAA